rnacentral:rRNA from 1 species
GUUAUAUGGUCAAGUGAAGAAGCGCAUACGGUGGAUGCCUUGGCAGUCAGAGGCGAUGAAAGACGUGGUAGCCUGCGAAAAGCUUCGGGGAGUCGGCAAACAGACUUUGAUCCGGAGAUCUCUGAAUGGGGGAACCCACCUAGGAUAACCUAGGUAUCUUGUACUGAAUCCAUAGGUGCAAGAGGCGAACCAGGGGAACUGAAACAUCUAAGUACCCUGAGGAAAAGAAAUCAACCGAGAUUCCCUUAGUAGUGGCGAGCGAACGGGGAUUAGCCCUUAAGCUUCAUUGAUUUUAGCGGAACGCUCUGGAAAGUGCGGCCAUAGUGGGUGAUAGCCCCGUACGCGAAAGGAUCUUUGAAGUGAAAUCGAGUAGGACGGAGCACGAGAAACUUUGUCUGAACAUGGGGGGACCAUCCUCCAAGGCUAAAUACUACUGACUGACCGAUAGUGAACCAGUACCGUGAGGGAAAGGCGAAAAGAACCCCGGAGAGGGGAGUGAAAUAGAACCUGAAACCGUAUGCGUACAAGCAGUGGGAGCCUACUUGUUAGGUGACUGCGUACCUUUUGUAUAAUGGGUCAGCGACUUAUAUUCAGUGGCAAGCUUAACCGUAUAGGGUAGGCGUAGCGAAAGCGAGUCUUAAUAGGGCGUUUAGUCGCUGGGUAUAGACCCGAAACCGGGCGAUCUAUCCAUGAGCAGGUUGAAGGUUAGGUAACACUGACUGGAGGACCGAACCCACUCCCGUUGAAAAGGUAGGGGAUGACUUGUGGAUCGGAGUGAAAGGCUAAUCAAGCUCGGAGAUAGCUGGUUCUCCUCGAAAGCUAUUUAGGUAGCGCCUCAUGUAUCACUCUGGGGGGUAGAGCACUGUUUCGGCUAGGGGGUCAUCCCGACUUACCAAACCGAUGCAAACUCCGAAUACCCAGAAGUGCCGAGCAUGGGAGACACACGGCGGGUGCUAACGUCCGUCGUGAAAAGGGAAACAACCCAGACCGCCAGCUAAGGUCCCAAAGUUGUGGUUAAGUGGUAAACGAUGUGGGAAGGCUUAGACAGCUAGGAGGUUGGCUUAGAAGCAGCCAUCCUUUAAAGAAAGCGUAAUAGCUCACUAGUCGAGUCGGCCUGCGCGGAAGAUGUAACGGGGCUCAAACCACACACCGAAGCUGCGGGUGUCACGUAAGUGACGCGGUAGAGGAGCGUUCUGUAAGCCUGUGAAGGUGAGUUGAGAAGCUUGCUGGAGGUAUCAGAAGUGCGAAUGCUGACAUGAGUAACGACAAUGGGUGUGAAAAACACCCACGCCGAAAGACCAAGGGUUCCUGCGCAACGUUAAUCGACGCAGGGUUAGUCGGUUCCUAAGGCGAGGCUGAAAAGCGUAGUCGAUGGGAAACAGGUUAAUAUUCCUGUACUUCUGGUUACUGCGAUGGAGGGACGGAGAAGGCUAGGCCAGCUUGGCGUUGGUUGUCCAAGUUUAAGGUGGUAGGCUGAAAUCUUAGGUAAAUCCGGGGUUUCAAGGCCGAGAGCUGAUGACGAGUCGUCUUUUAGAUGACGAAGUGGUUGAUGCCAUGCUUCCAAGAAAAGCUUCUAAGCUUCAGGUAACCAGGAACCGUACCCCAAACCGAC